GAUGAACGCUGGCGGCGUGCCUAAUACAUGCAAGUCGAGCGAACAGACGAGGAGCUUGCUCCUCUGACGUUAGCGGCGGACGGGUGAGUAAUACGUGGAUAACCUACCUAUAAGACUGGGAUAAACUCGGGAAACUGGAGCUAAUACUGGAUACUAUAUUUAACCGCAUGGUUCAAUAGUGAAAGAGGGUUUUGCUUUCUCUUAUAGAUGGAUCCUCGUCGCCUUAGUUAGUUGGUAAGGUAACGCCUUACCAAGGCAACGAUGCGUAGCCGACCUGAGAGGGUGAUAGGCCGCCCGGGAGCGGGGACGCGGUCCAUAGUCCUGCGGGAGGCAGCAGUAUGGAAUCUGCCGCAGUAGGCGAAAGCCUGACGGAGCGACGCCGCGUGAGAUAUAGAGAUCUUCGGUGCGUAAUGCUCGGUUAUUAGGUAAGAACAAAUGUGUGAGUGGAAGAAGACGUCUUGACGGUACCUGAACAAGAAGCCACGGCUAACUACGUG
rnacentral:rRNA from 1 species